rnacentral:rRNA from 1 species
UACGGGAGGCAGCAGUGGGGAAUAUUGCACAAUGGGCGCAAGCCUGAUGCAGCCAUGCCGCGUGUAUGAAAAAGGCCUUCGGGUUGUAAAGUACUUUCAGUCGUGAGGAAGGUGUUAAGGUUAAUAACCUUAGCAAUUGACGUUAGCGACAGAAGAAGCACCGGCUAACUCCGUGCCAGCAGCCGCGGUAAUACGGAGGGUGCGAGCGUUAAUCGGAAUUACUGGGCGUAAAGGGCACGCAGGCGGUUAAUUAAGUUGGAUGUGAAAUCCCCGGGCUUAACCUGGGAAUGGCAUUCAAGACUGGUUAGCUAGAGUCUUGUAGAGGGGGUAGAAUUCCAUGUGUAGCGGUGAAAUGCGUAGAGAUGUGGAGGAAUACCGGUGGCGAAGGCGGCCCCUGGGACAAAGACUGACGCUCAUGUGCGAAAAGCGUGGGGAGCAAAACAGGGAUUAGAUACC